rnacentral:lncRNA from 1 species
AUGAAGAGCAGGAGAACGUAUGUGAGAAGACCUUUUAGCCAAACAAACCUCGGUAUCAUGGAGGAUCGCUCAUCCUUCGCCAACCUCCAGCACCCCCGUCUCCGCCCAUCCUUUUCUCUGACUGUGCACGGCUUCCAAAGCUCUGAAGCCGGAUGCCCGACCUCGCAGCCUGCUCAAGAUUCCCUGGAACAUUACGGGACCAGAGAACAGGAAUCCCCAGCCUCGUUCCUGACAUCAAACGUCUCCUCUGGGCCCAGAAGGAUGAGCAGUUUGGAUGGAGAUGCUGGUUUAGGAGGUCACUUUGAUGACUCCUGGUAUGCAAGGGAGGGAAUGUGGGAUGACGGGGAGAGCGGUGAAAGCACGGCGGAGGAUUUUCACGGUAAAAGUUACGCAAACGAUGCUUUUUGCACGAUGAGUUGUGGUGCUGAGGAGGAGGACAGAUGGAGGAUCCGAUCAAACCUGAGCAGUUGUGGAGGCUGUGAGGAUAAGAGUGAUUACAGCAGGCCGGCGUUCACUACGCAGGAAGUUUCCUACAACAGAGCAGGAAGCUUCAGCGGCACGACCAACUCAAAGCUCAGCCAGUACACAGCAGGAGACGAGGACUACGGGUCCAGCUGCGGGUCGGCGGAGGAUCAGCUUCAGCCAGCAGAAGCUGAGGGCUCCUGGAUCUCUGGCUCUCGUACAGGAGGGACUGAGGUCAGAGGUCAGCCAGAGGGCAGGUGGAGGGGACCCGCAGACAGCCACAGUUUGUCCUCCGGCUGUGUCUCACAGAGGUCCCCUGUGGACAUCAGCAGCAGGACGUACACUCAGAAACUGGACUCCUUCUCCGAAGCGUUCCUCUCCCAGAAGAAAAGAAGAUUCCAGACUCUUGGAGUGGAUUCCUCUGGGCAAAUCUGGGAAAAUGGAAUGGGAACAGCUGGAAUGAUCAAAUCCAUUCAGAGCUGUGCGUUUGACUCAGACUCCGGCCUGCCUCCCUCCUCCUCCUCCUCUUCCUCCCCUGCCUGUCCCUCUCUUCUGCCCUUCCCCUCCCCUCCCACAUCAUCUCACCUCAUGUCUUCGGUUCUUAGUCCUCCUCCCACACCGUUACCUCCUCCCUCCCACUCGCCCUCCAAAACGGACUCUCCCAGCACCCAGGGAGGCAGCAGACACCCCGAACCUCCAGGCGGGCUUCAGUUUUUCUCAUCCCACAUGCCUUCCAUGCACUCCUCUGGAAUGAUCUGGAAGUUCCCUCUGCUGUCCCACUGCAUCCCACAGCCGUGGACAGAUCCCAGCAGCACCGUAGACUCCAGCCGGAUCCCAGGUGGGCGUAUUUUACCCCCUUAAAGACGCGGAUGCAAGUUAAAACCCUCAUGGUAAUUUAUGGGUUACUGUAGGUGUGACCCCCCCCCCCCCCCCCCCCCCAAAAAAGAAAAUGGAAGUUUCGGGUUUUCACACAUUUAAACCUUGUGACUUUUUUUUCUUCUUUCUCAUUUUUUUCACGUUUCGAAACUUUUACGUCACUUCCCAGAUCGCUCGGAGUGUAUUCUUAGUUCAGAAACAAGUUGUGACUGGUUGCACGGUGGCACAGUGGUCAGCGCUGUUGCCUUGCAGCAAGAAGGUUGUAGGUUCAAAUCCUGACCUGGGAUCUUGCUGCAAUGGAGUUUGCAUGUCCUCCCCGUGCAUCUCUCCGGGAGCUUCCUCCCACAGUCCAAAAACAUGACUGUCAGGUUGACUGGUCUCUGUAAAUUGUUGCUAGGCAUGGACGUAAUUUUGGGGGGGACAGGGGGGACAUGCCCCCCCCCCACUUUUUCCAAAGUCAAGUUUUGACCCCUGUACUUUUUACCAUCCAAAAACAAUAUUACGCUAUAUUAAACUGACACUGUUUGAGCUCUAGGACCAAGCGGAAAACAACCAUUUGUGUUGAAGCCUGUUUCUGUUUUCCGGAUGAACGCUAGAGAUAGGCACCCUGCCCGGACAAGCGGGUGUAGAAAGUAGAUAGAUGGAAACAAGUUCUCACAAGAAUCGAUCAGAUGAUCAAUGUGUGAACGUUUUAAGCGUCGCAGACAUCAGAGCAGAUUUUAGUCUGUUUUUGUUUCUCUGUUUGUCAUCCUGUUGUUUACUCUCUCUUUUAAAUGCCAUCUUGUUGUUUCCCCUCCUCCAGCCUCCUCCACCAUCCUUCAGCCUCCUGGAUCACCGUCACUCACCUCUCCAUCCCUCCACUCCUCCGGAGCUUUGUCUUCCUCCUCUUCAUCCCUUAACAGUUUUUGUCACCUUCCCUUCCUCCCUUUUCCUGGCGAACACCAGGAGACGACUGAAAGGACAAGCGUGCGCGGCGUCAGCCGGACAGUGAAGAGUGAGGCGGUCGCUCCGGACCGGUCACAGAUUCGGGUACCGCACCGGGGUUUUUGUUCGUCAUGUUAAUAGGGUCUGCAUGUUUUAUCUCUUUUCUGCAAUUUUUUUGUAGGAAAACUGAAGCAUCAAGUGAAAAACGACUGAUUUUCUGACCAAAACUGAUGCUAUCUCAGGUUUAGAAGCAGGCUUUUAACAGGCCGGACCCCAGCUCUGCACUCUGCUGGAACUUUUACACCAGCAGGCAGGGGGAGCUGUGGGCGAACGUCUGAAUGGCUGUUUGUCACGAACUGACGUUAGCUCCAGCUGCUUGUAAAAGCCACAGACUUAAUCCAGGCUUUUAUUUUUUAGAAACGCCCAACAGAUCAAAAUGAGACACCCCUGGAGUCUGUGAAAACAUGUUGUUCCACUUUUGGGUUAGGUGGGAUGCUCCCGCCUCAGAACAAGGCCCGUGUCCGCUAAUACCAGGGGGUGGAACUCUGUUCUAGUGGAAAAUAAAACUCAUUUGAUUUUUUUUAUUAAGAGCAAAUUUUUCUUAGGAUAUUUUUGCAAGUUUUCUGGUUUUUCCUACAAAAGCAGCAGCAGAAAUAGACUAAAAUGAUGCUUUUUGUGUGUUUUUGCAGCCACAAACUCCUCCAGUUUACACUGGCAGGCCGUUUCCCAGCAUCCUUCACUCCAGAAGGUCUCAGAAACGAGGUCGCUACACCCCACCCCCGCUUCUCAGUCCAGUCCGCAGGGGCCCGGGACUCUAUUCCUCCCUCUCUCUUCAUCACAGAGAGGAAGAAACCCCGUGUGGAGAGGAGGAGGAGGAGGAGAGCAGAGGGUGGGUGAACUCCAGAAACAUCCUUAAUAUGGGGCGACGGUGGCACAGGAGUUAAGUGCUCGCCUCGCAAUCGGAAGGUCGCAGGUUCGAGACCCGCUCAGUCUGUCGCUGUCGUUGUGUCCUUGGGCAAGACACUUAACCCACGUUGCCUGCUGGUGGUGGUCGGAGGGAUUGGUGGCGCCAGUGCUCGGCAGCCUCGCCGCUGUCAGUGCGCCCCAGGGCAGCUGUGGCUACAU